UCACUGACUGUCACAAGAUAUGAUGGCCCC
rnacentral:piRNA from 1 species